AAACUUAAAGUGAAGUUGACGGGGGCCCGCACAAGCGUGAGCAUGUGGUUUAAUUCGAAGCAACGCGAAGAACCUUACCAGGUCUUGACAUCCCUGACAACCCGAGAGAUCGGGCGUUCCCCCUUCGGGGGGACAGGGUGACAGGUGGUGCAUGGUUGUCGUCAGCUCGUGUCGUGAGAUGUUGGGUUAAGUCCCGCAACGAGCGCAACCCUCGACCUUAGUUGCCAGCAUUCAGUUGGGCACUCUAAGGUGACUGCCGGCUAAAAGUCGGAGGAAGUGGGGAUGACGUCAAAUCAUCAUGCCCCUUAUGACCUGGGCUACACACGUGCUACAAUGGGCGGUACAAAGGGUCGCGAACCCGCGAGGGGGAGCCAAUCCCAAAAAGCCGCUCUCAGUUCGGAUUGCAGGCUGCAACUCGCCUGCAUGAAGCCGGAAUCGCUAGUAAUCGCGGAUCAGCAUGCCGCGGUGAAUACGUUCCCGGGCCUU
rnacentral:rRNA from 1 species